UCGUACGACGAGUUUGAUCCUGGCUCAGGAUGAACGCUAGCGGGAGGCUUAACACAUGCAAGUCGAGGGGCAGCAUUUCCUUCGGGAAGAUGGCGACCGGCGCACGGGUGCGUAACGCGUAUGCAACCUACCUUAUACAGGGGGAUAGCCCAUGGAAACGUGGAUUAAUACCCCAUCGAACAGUAAUAUCGCCUGUUAUAACUGUUAAAACUUCGGUGGUAUAAGAUGGGCAUGCGUAGGAUUAGCUAGUAGGUAGUGUAACGGACUACCUAGGCAACGAUCCUUAGGGGUUCUGAGAGGAUUAUCCCCCACACUGGUACUGAGACACGGACCAGACUCCUACGGGAGGCAGCAGUGAGGAAUAUUGGACAAUGGGCGAGAGCCUGAUCCAGCCAUGCCGCGUGCAGGAAGACGGCCCUAUGGGUUGUAAACUGCUUUUGUACGGGAAGAAACACCCCCUCGUGAGGGGGCUUGACGGUACCGUAAGAAUAAGGAUCGGCUAACUCCGUG
rnacentral:rRNA from 1 species